GCUUCUAACACCAGCAGAUCUUUACUCUAUCUUUUGUGAGCCAUUUGGCACGAAUUCACAUUAAAUAAAAAUCAUAUAGACACUUGGAGCCUUUUGAUUUUCACUCCAAAGCACACAAAAAAAAACUAACAAAUUCCUAAUUGAGAGAGCUCUCUAAAUUGGUAUCAUAAAAAUCAUAUCACAUCAAACUUUCAAUUUUGGCCUAUAUGGUUUCCUUGUAAACCCUGCGCUCACCAACAAUUUAACAUUUCUGGCAUUAAACACUUUUACACGCAUAAAUACUUAAAACUAGUAACUACAAACAUAAGACAUUAUAAAACACCACCAAACAUCACAAACAUACACUUAACCCAAGGUCUAAGGUUUUUUUUUUUUUUUUCAAUUUAAGGCAAUUUUUUUUCUUUUUAGUGGAUUUAAAGAAUAUACUUUUUUUGUUUUUUUUUUUUCUUUUGGUUUAUGACAAUUAUUCUUUUGCUGGCUUUAGUAAAUAUUUCAUUGGUAUUCUAUCUCAUUCCAGCGCUUUUCGCCCGGUGGGUUCUCUGCCUAGGCCGCUGGCGCAUGUGUGCAGCAAUUGCCCGAACACAAUUUUUCCGCCACGGAUCCGAACUUGGACGUUUUGGUCAUAUAUAGCCUGCCUUAAUGAUUGCCAGAUGAUGGACCGAACCCUGGAGCAGUCGCAACCACGACAGGGGACAGAUGAUUCCAAUUUUCCUCCCUAUCAAACUACGCUGGCCAUUUACUCCCGACAAGACUUUACGUUGAACCUCACAGAUGUGGUUUCUUCCUGAGGGCGCUUUAAUUGAUAACAAAGGGACAUAGAUAACAUUGCUGAGUUGUACCCAAUUAACCUCUUAAAUGUAUAAGAACACUCACUUUAUAAGUUUUCGCCCACAAUUUAAUAAAAAAAAAACACACACACAGAGGCACAAAGUUCAGCUUCAAUAUAUGUCAUUCCAAACACCACAA